ensembl:snoRNA small nucleolar RNA, C/D box 101
GUUUGAAUGAUGACUAUGAAAGUCGGAUACCCCUUCACUCUUUUUAUGAGUGACAAUGAUAGUCUGACAAAC